CUUUACAGUAAACAGUUCCCAGUUUCCAGUUUCACCUGCACUUUGAGGUCACACAGCCAUCUUCCUCCCCACCAACAUGUAUCAGAAUGAAGGGACAGAAGAAAAGAGACAGAGAUCCAGACUGAGGAUUGGUGGAGAGCCAGAAGCUCAGUUACCCGGACAAGAAAUGAAAAGCAGACUUCAUUGUUUCUUACUCUCUGGUGGGAGGAGAGGUGGAAAGAAGAAAUAAGGAAAGACCAAGGGUUGGAGAAGAAAAGAAAGCUGGAACAAUUUAAUCCAGAUAAAAUCUGAAAUGUCCAAGUAA